rnacentral:lncRNA from 1 species
AAUGUUUCUCAAGUAUAAAAUGAUCGGUGUAAACGUAAUACAACAUAAUCAAAGUUUUAACGCUUCAGAUUACUAGAUGGAGGGGUGCAACAUGGGGCCUUCUUACAAACAUAUGGAUCACAUGGCCCUAAUGGUUCACAGCAAGGUGGUAAAUCUUGUAAGUGCACUGCAAGAGAACUUUUCAUAUCAACAAGAAGCACCAAAAACAACAAGAAAAAUUUCAAUAAAGAUUCCAUGAUAACUUAAUUUUGAUUUCAAAGAAAUGAAAAAUGGAUACCGAUAGUGAAUGAUAUGUUAAACAAAUAUGUACAGAUUUAUAGGUAAAAACUAAUCUUUAGAAAAUACUUAUAUGUUAAUAAUGUACAAACUUUUUAUUUAUCCUUAUUAGCAUUGUUUUAUAUGUUGACUGACUACUAAUACUCUUUUUUUUUGGACAAAACUAACAUAAAUAAAUAUUAAAUAAUUUAUUAAUACUUUAUGUUGACUGAAUAUUAUUAUUUAUUUGACUAACUACUAAUAUUAAAUAGUGUGGUUUUAUAUUUUGAUAGCAUAAGUGUACAUCAUUGAAGUAGUAAUUCUAUUAAAUAUUAUAAGAAAUAAAGUAUCUUAUAUAAAUAAUUACUUCAAAUCAAAAUGGCUUAAAUAGUCUGUUCGUUCUUAUAAGUUAGCGUGUUCUUUUUAGUCCCUAAACUUUUUUUUGUAAAAAUAUUCUCAAAAUUAGGGAUGCUCAAAUUAACCCGUUAUUUAAAUUAUCCAUAUUCAUAUUCAAAUUUGGUUAUUAAACACCGGUUAAUUAUUAGUAUAGUUUCAAACAAAUCGAUGUUUUGGAUAUGUUAUUAAUAUCAUUUUAACCAAAUCCAUAUUGUGUACAUCCAUAUCCACAAUAAAAAUCAAAUUAGUCUAUUUUUUUUUAUAAAAAAAAAUACAAAAACACUUUUUAUUUUUUUGAAAAUAAAAAAAAAAUUAAUUGUUUUAAUUUUGAAAAAUUAUUAGUUUUUCUGCAAGAAAUAAAAAAAAUAGUUUUUAAAAAAAAUAUAAAAAUGUUUUUUAUUAUAAUAUUUUUUUCAAAAAUAAAUUUUAUUUUUGUAACAAAAAAAAUUUCUUAAAAAAUGAUUUAAAUUUUCUUUUAAUAAAAAUCUAUUAUAAAUUGGUUAUGGAUAUAACCGGCUAAUGAUUGGCUUAUAACCAUUUUACAAAAAUGAUAUCUGCUUAUGACAAUUGGUUUCAAUAACUUGUUCUAAUAUAUGAAUUAUUCAUGGUUAUGGAUUGGUUUUGGAAAUUAAUCGUCCAUGAACAUCCCUACUCUGAAUGUGAAAUCUUUUUGGUGUUGGUCCUUAAAAUUAAAAACCAAAGGAAAAUCAACAGGUUCUGUGCGGAAUUUCCUUCGAGCUUUUUUACUGAAUAAAAGUUUGCAAGUUUCUUGCAGAUUUUUACUUUAGUGACUAAAACAAUUUGAAUAGAAGCUUCCAAAGGACACUAGUAAUAUUAGUUUGUGCUCCUAUGUAAAGUACAUAGUCACUUUCAAGAUAAAGUUGUAUUUGUACACUCAUAGAAGUAUGCUUUAUAGAUAAAAUGACAACUGUAAGUUCUAUUUUAAAAGAUGAAUUGAUUACGAUAUUUGCUAAGAAUGCACCUAAGUGCCUUACAAUCACGAAAGACUUAUAUACAUGUUAUUCUUCCCUAAUCCCUCGAUACGACAACUUUUAUGUUAAUUUUAACCCAUUGAGGGUAGGGAUACUUCUUGUUCACUUGAAUAAUGCAUGGUGAAGGGGGAGGGAAAAAUUUCAUAUCUAAUUAUUUCAUAAUAAUAAAUUCAUGCAUCAAUGAGUACAUGUGUUCCUUGAGAGAGAGGUACUUACAUUGUGAAUCCAAUAUUUCUUGUCUCUAAGUUCCUUACCAAGGUUAGUUUGUGCGCUAUUGAAUCUAACUUCAUUUCUUGGGUUCCAUGUAAUCCAAGUGAUUAAGGUAAUGACCACAAUAAUAAUAUUAUUGAUUUUUUGACUUCAUACUUAAUUAAUUAUGUUGUAUAGGCUCUUAAAGGUAGUAUAAUCAAUUUCAAGCAUAAUAAGGAUUCUAACCAUGUCCAAAAUUGCAAUGUGUGUCUGCAAUUUAAGAAGAGAUGGUGAGGAGUUUCCAAGACUUUAGUAUGGAGGGAACAUUUACAAACAAAUGUAACUCUUCUCUUUCAAAGAUUAUCGUAUUUGGAAAACAAGUUAUGCACUAUAUUCUGAAAAGUCGAAUACCUUUCAGGUGCAAUGAAUUUUUUCCAUGUUUUUGGCCUAACUAAAUUCUAUAUCAUCAGUAUUAUGGGAUGCAUACGCCAUAGUGAUUGCUUUAGAUUUUCCAAAUUAUAUUGAUUGCAACAAUUUCACAAUAAUGUAUAAUGAUUUUAUGAAUAUAAUAGUUCUCUAGGAUACAAAUAUGAUGAAAUUCAUAUAAAUGUUCCUAAUAGUUCCUUGAGUUAGCUCUAGGGUAGUAGUAGUUUGCAGAUACUUAAUUUUUUAUGAAAGGGCAAUAGAGUAUUUGAUUUUACAACUUAACUAUAUAUCAUUCCAAAAACAAUUACUUUUUCCAUUCUCUAUUUACCACUUCAUAUGAUCUUCAAUAUCCUUCAAAGCAUUCUUUAAACCAAACCAUAUUUAGGAGCUUAUUUGAUCCUUAACAGGUUGUUAGUUCUUGAGGUAUCUACAUCUAAGGGUAUUGGAUAUUUUUUGUGGGCUGUGAUCAUUUUCCAUCUAUGAGUCACUCGUCCUUUUUCAUUUAAGCUCUUGAUUUUUUGCAUACCAAGACCACCAAGAGAGAUAUAUGUGCAAACUUUCUCCCACGAGAAAAUGACAAGUAUUAUUGUGUCAACAUUUCAUGUCCAUACAAAGUUUCCAAUGCAAGAAUCCAAUCUAUCCAAAAUGGACAUUACCCACUCAUAUGAUAUGACGUUAUAAACUUACAUUACAUGGAUUCAAGAUCUAACUAGUUGGACACAACCCAUUAUAUAAAGAAGAUGUUCUUUCAAGGUAUAACACUUUGUGUUGUUACAAGGGAUUGGAAGUAUUUUGUAGGCAAUGUAUGAAGCAAGAUUUCUUGUUAAGAUGCGAGAAAUUAUGUCUCGAGGUGGUUCCUGAUGCAUUUGUGGAAAGCAACAUAUUCCUACAUUAUAUGAGUCGUCAUCUCUUGAGUUGUUUACUAGGAACACAUGCUUUAAUGGAGUGUAUCUCGCACUUUUGAAAUUGGUUUCCAUUUUAGUCCAAUCAAAGAUAAGAUUAGUUAAACAGGUGUUUAUUUGAAAAAUAUUUAUCCUGAAUCUAUUUUAGCAAGAUUGGAAUUAUUAGUCAUAUCAGAUUUAGAUUUAACUGAAUUGGUUCAAUCAAAAUUGAAAAGCAACUUCAUAAAUAUUGAUAUUUUUUAGCUAAUUUGUUUGAUUGAGUGAACCUUCUUAUGUAAGAGAGAAUAUGUAUUUUUUAACAAUGAAUUUUAUAAAUUUUCGCGAAAUUGCACUAAAAAAUUGUGAAUUAACUCAACAAAUUAAAACAUAUUUAUUUUCAUGUUAAAAUAAACAAAUAGUUAACAUAACAAUUGAUCAAUCAUUCAAAAUACCUUGUCUUUUUUCAUAACUAAAUAUAAGAAGGUGAACGAUCAUCUCAAAGUAGUAUAUGAAACAUUUCAGAAAUAUAUUUCAAUAACCAAUCUUAUUAAUAUAAUUAUUAUAAAUGAGAUGAAUGUUUCUCAAGUAUAAAAUGAUCGGUGUAAAUGUAAUACAACAUAAUCAAAGUUUUAACGCUUCAGAUUACUAGAUGGAGGGGUGCAACAUGGGGCCUUCUUACAAACAUAUGGGUCACAUGGCCCUAAUGGUUCACAACAAGGAGGUAAAUCUUGUAAGUGCACUGCAAGAGCACUUUUCAUACCAACAAGAAGCACCAAAAACAUCAAGAAAAAUUUCAAUAAAGAUUCCAUGAUGACUUAAUUUUAAUUUCAAAGAAAUGAAAAAUGGAUACUAAUAGUGAAUGAUAUGUUAAACAAAUGUGUACAAAUUUA